AUUGAACGAUGGCGGCAGGCAUAACACAUGCAAGUCGAGCGAGCGGAGGACGGGUGAGUAAUGCCUGGGAAUUGCCCAGUCGAGGGGGAUAACAGUUGGAAACGACUGCUAAUACCGCAUACAAUUGGAGUGACCAGGGUGGAUUAGCUAGGUGGUGAGGUAAUGGCUCACCAAGGCGACGAUCCCGAGCUGGUCUGAGAGGAUGAUCAGCCACACUGUAACUGAGACACGGUCCAGACUCCUACGGGAGGAAGCAGUGGGGAAGAUUGCACAAUGGGGUAAACCCUUAUGCAGCCAUGCCGCGUGUGUGAAGAAGGCCUUCGGGUUGUAAAGCACUUUCAGCGAGGAGGCGUUACUCGCAGAAGAAGCACCGGCUAACUCCGUGCCAGCCGCCGCGGUAAUUC
rnacentral:rRNA from 1 species